rnacentral:lncRNA from 1 species
AAUUUCAUCAUCCAAAACCUCAAGUUUGAACCAAAAACAUGUAAAACCUCUCUCACAAACCAUUCAGAACCUCCUACACCAAAUUUUACUAGUUUGAAAGCUUUCAUAAGUCCUAAAUGACUUCCCAAAUGACCUCAAACUGUUGUUUAAUUCAACUUACCAGUUCCUCAAAAAUUCAUUUAUCAACACCUUCCUUUUAUGCUUAAAACUCAAGUAAAUGACACUUUUUCAAUUCAAC